GCCUUCGUGGUGUAGUGGUCAGCACGCUCGGCGUAUAUUCGAGAGGUCCGUGGUUCGAGUCCUGGCGAGGAUU
rfam:Stegodyphus mimosarum contig98272, whole genome shotgun sequence.